rfam:Myotis lucifugus cont2.37548, whole genome shotgun sequence.
AGGCCCAGAGAGAGAAGCAGGGUCUGAUCCAUAGCCUCCAUGGCAGCUUUUGAUCAGUCCUUGCCUCUUUCUUUCUCUUGG